rnacentral:rRNA from 1 species
CAGUCGCCGCGGGAAUACGUAGGUGGCAAGCGUUGUCCGGAAUUAUUGGGCGUAAAGCGCGCGCAGGUGGUUUAAUAAGUCUGAUGUGAAAGCCCACGGCUCAACCGUGGAGGGUCAUUGGAAACUGUUAAACUUGAGUGCAGGAGAGAAAAGUGGAAUUCCUAGUGUAGCGGUGAAAUGCGUAGAGAUUAGGAGGAACACCAGUGGCGAAGGCGGCUUUUUGGCCUGUAACCGACACUGAGGCGCGAAAGCGUGGGGAGCAAACAGGAUUAGAUACCCCAGUAGUCCCUGUCUCUUAUAC